GCGCGAAAACUUUACAAUGCGGGAAACCGUGAUAAGGGAACUCCGAGUGCCCGUAAAAUCGGGCUGUCCAUCUGUUUAAAUAACAGGUGAAGAAAGGGCCGGGCAAGACCGGUGCCAGCCGCCGCGGUAAUACCGGCGGCUCGAGUGGUGGCCACUAUUACUGGGCUUAAAGCGUUCGUAGCUGGUUUGUUAAGUCUCUGGGGAAAUCUGCCGGCUCAACCGGCAGGCGUUCCAGGGAUACUGGCAGACUAGGGACCGGGAGAGGUGAGGGGUACUCCAGGGGUAGGAGUGAAAUCCUGUAAUCCUUGGGGGACCACCUGUGGCGAAGGCGCCUCACCAGAACGGCUCCGACAGUGAGGGACGAAAGCUGGGGGAGCAAACCGG
rnacentral:rRNA from 1 species